CGCGGCCUGCGGUAACAUUGCGAUUCUGCCAUGGUGCUGCUUUUAAUUAUACUCACGUCAAACGAAAGACCUUCCGUCUGCUGUAUGAUUCAGAAGUUAAUCAUUCCGAGCUCUUUCACUUUUGUGUUAUAAAAUAAAUAAAAAGAUUUACUUUUUACUUUCUGCAAUUGAACACUGAAACAAAAAAAAAAAGAUAAAACGUGGAAAUCAAAGCAAUCAUUUAUUUGUUGUGCGCGUACAGUCAACAACUGUCGAUACUAAUCUCGUUAUUAUGGCAUAGCGUGUAAGUUUUUUCGUCACUGCUACACAUAUAUUUUACUUCAACUGAAUGUGUGCUCUAUGGACCGAAUUGAAAGUGAAAACGACGUCGACUUAAUUGGCAAUACAAACCAUAGGCCUGUGUAGUGUAUAUGUAACGACUAGAGUGGUGUAAACAAUGAUCAUAACGUCAAGAUAUUUCCAACCCAAGAAGGGGGUGUCCCAGCCGAGCUGACAAAGGAGCAAGAAGUCGUGCAGAGUUUUUUGUUUACGAUGAUUAAUCCGUAACGUUUCUUGCUGGCACCACAGAGCGCCAGAGGUAUCACUUAGGUUAGCACAAAUUAUCAGUUGAAACGGAAAACUGUUUUCUGGUGAUGGUAAAUCUCUGUUAGGACAGACCACAGAUCUUUGUUUACGGUUCGCCCUUUUCCAAACCAUUAAUGUAUUGGCUUAUUGAAAAAGUGGGCGAACAUUGUCGGCGCGAAGUUUAUUGAAAGCGAAAA